rnacentral:tRNA from 5 species
CGCGGGGUGGAGCAGUGGUAGCUCGUCGGGCUCAUAACCCGAAGGCCAUAGGUUCGAAUCCUAUCCCCGCUA